rnacentral:rRNA from 1 species
CUACGGGAGGCUGCAGUGGGGAAUCUUAGACAAUGGGCGCAAGCCUGAUCUAGCCAUGCCGCGUGAGUGAUGAAGGCCUUAGGGUCGUAAAGCUCUUUCGCUGGGGAAGAUAAUGACGGUACCCAGUAAAGAAACCCCGGCUAACUCCGUGCCGGCAGCCGCGGUAAUACGGAGGGGGGUAGCGUUGUUCGGAAUUACUGGGCGUAAAGCGCGCGUAGGCGGACUGUUAAGUCGGGGGUGAAAUCCCGGGGCUCAACCCCGGAACGGCCUUCGAUACUGGCAGUCUGGAGUUCGAGAGAGGUGAGUGGAAUUCCGAGUGUAGAGGUGAAAUUCGUAGAUAUUCGGAGGAACACCAGUGGCGAAGGCGGCUCACUGGCUCGAUACUGACGCUGAGGUGCGAAAGUGUGGGGAGCAAACAGGAUUAGAUACCCUGGUAGUC